rnacentral:rRNA from 1 species
AGAGUUUGAUCCUGGCUCAGGAUGAACGCUGACAGAAUGCUUAACACAUGCAAGUCGACUGGAAUUCUUCUUCGGAAGAUAGUACGGUGGCGGACGGGUGAGUAACGCGUAAAGAAUUUGCCCUUCAGACUGGGACAACUAACCGAAAGGUUAGCUAAUACCGGAUAUUAUGACAACUCGGCAUCGAGAAGUUAUGAAAGCUAUAUGCGCUGGAGGAGAACUUUGCGUCCCAUUAGGUAGUUGGUAGGGUAAUGGCCUACCAAGCCGACGAUGGGUAGCCGGCCUGAGAGGGUGAACGGCCACAAGGGGACUGAGACACGGCCCUUACUCCUACGGGAGGCAGCAGUGGGGAAUAUUGGACAAUGGACCAAAAGUCUGAUCCAGCAAUUCUGUGUGCACGAUGAAGGUCUUCGGAUUGUAAAGUGCUUUCAGUGGGGAAGAAGAAAGUGACGGUACCCACAGAAGAAGCGACGGCUAAAUACGUGCCAGCAGCCGCGGUAAUACGUAUGUCGCAAGCGUUAUCCGGAAUUAUUGGGCGUAAAGCGAGUCUAGGCGGCUUGUUAAGUCAGAUGUGAAAAUGCGGGGCUCAACUCCGUAUUGCGUUUGAAACUGGCAGGCUAGAGUACUGGAGAGGUGGGCGGAACUACAAGUGUAGAGGUGAAAUUCGUAGAUAUUUGUAGGAAUGCCGAUAGUGAAGACAGCUCACUGGACAGAUACUGACGCUAAAGCUCGAAAGCGUGGGGAGCGAACAGGAUUAGAUACCCUGGUAGUCCACGCCGUAAACGAUGGUUACUAGUUGUUGGAUUAACAAUGGUUAAUUCAGUG